UACAGAGGUCCCAAGCGUUGUUCGGAUUCAUUGGGCGUAAAGGGUGCGUAGGCGGCGCCGUAAGUCGGAUGUGAAAUCUCGGGGCUCAACCCCGAAACUGCAUUCGAUACUGCGGUGCUAGAGGACUCUAGAGGAAACUGGAAUUCACGGUGUAGCAGUGAAAUGCGUAGAUAUCGUGAGGAAGACCAGUGGCGAAGGCGGGUUUCUGGAGAGUUCCUGACGCUGAGGCACGAAGGCCAGGGGAGCAACGGGG
rnacentral:rRNA from 1 species